AAGACUAUAGACCUGCGGAGUACCUGCGGAGGGAUCAUUAUAGAGUGGUAAACCCCCCGUAAAAGGGGGGGACCUCCUGUCCUUUGUAGGCUCUUUUUUAAAAGGGCUUUUUUUAAUUUUCUGCUUCGGUGGGGUUAUCCCACCGGAACAACCUCAAAACUCUUAUCAAAAAAUCGUUCUGUCUGAGAACCUUUUAUAAUAAAAAAAAACUUUUAACAAUGGAUCUCUAGAUCGGAAGAG
rnacentral:misc_RNA from 1 species